rnacentral:rRNA from 1 species
GCUCAAAAUAAAAUUUAGAGUGUAACCUGCCCAGUGAUUUUAAAUUAAAAAAUAUUAAAAAUAUUUAAAUAAAAUUAAACGGACGCAGUAUCUUGACUGUGGUAAUGUAGCAUAAUAAUUUGCCAUUUAAUUGGUGGAUGGUAUGAAUGGUUAAACGAAUAUUUCAUUGUCUUAAGAAAAAAACUUAUAAAAUUAAAUUAAUAGUUAAGAUGCUAUUUAAAAUUGUAAGACGAAAAGACCCUAUAGAGCUUAACUAAAAUCUUAUUUAAAAUCAAAAAUUAUAAAUUUUAAAAUUAUUAAGAUUGUUAGUUUAGUUGGGGCGACUACCUUUUACUUAAAACAAAGGUAAACAAAGUUUAAAAAAUAACUUAUUGUAUAAAAAAUAAUUUUAACAAUUAUAAAAAUAGGUUUUAUUGACCCGUUAUUUUUAUAAAAAAAUAAUAACGAUUAAUAAAUAAAAGCUACCUUAGGGAUAACAGAAUAAUUUUAGUUUAGAGAUCUUAUCGAAGCUAAAGUUUGUUACCUCGAUGUUGAAUUAAGAUUUCCCAAUAAUGCAGAAGUUAUUAAAGGUAGGUCUGUUCGACCUUUAAAAUCUU